rnacentral:rRNA from 1 species
UACGUAGGGGGCAAGCGUUAUCCGGAUUUACUGGGUGUAAAGGGAGCGUAGACGGCCAUUCAAGCCAGAUGUGAAAGCCCGGGGCUCAACCCCGGGACUGCAUUUGGAACUGUAUGGCUGGAGUGUCGGAGAGGCAGGCGGAAUUCCUAGUGUAGCGGUGAAAUGCGUAGAUAUUAGGAGGAACACCAGUGGCGAAGGCGGCCUGCUGGACAGUAACUGACGCUGAGGCGCGAAAGCGUGGGGAGCAAACAGG